AUGACGAGCCGCCGCCACCGCUCGCCGUCCCCGGCGGCGCUGGACGACGACGACCUGCUCUUCGAGAUCCUCCUUCGCCUCCCACCGCAGCCCUCCUCCCUCCCACGCGCCUCCCUCGUCAACAAGCGCUGGCGCCGCCUCGCCUCCGACCCCGGUUUCCUCCACCGCUUCCGCAUCCACCACCGCCGCAGCGCUCCCAUCCUCGGUUGCUUCGUGGAGCGAGCCCACGGCAUCUCCUUCGAACCAACUCUGGAGGCCCCCAAUCGUGUCCCGCCGGGGCGCUUCUCCUUACGGUUCGAGGAAGGCGACCGUUUCGGGCUCCUCGACUGCCGCCAUGAUCUCGUGCUCGUCCACAACCAGACACGGUGCAAGUUCCUUGUGUGGGACCCCAUCACCUGCGAGCAGCACCAUCUAGCCAUCCCGGCGGGUUUCGAUUCGGAAACGAACGAGAUCAGCGGGGCGGUGCUUCGUGCCGGGGGAGACGUCCAACACUUCGAGGUGGUCUUUGUACGCUACGACGACAUACGACAUGGACAAGCAGCGGUCGCCUGCGUUUACUCGUCAGAGAUGAGCUUAUGGAGUGACCUCAUCUCAACACCCCUUCCAUGGUUGAGCCCAUUUGACAACACAAUUUCUACGGCUCACCCUGCUGUGCUGGCUGGGGAUGCCCUUUACUGGUUUGUUACCGCGGGUUCGGAUGAAAUUCUUGAAUUUGAUCUCUGGAAGCACAAGUUAGCGGUGAUACAGCUUCCCGUUCAUGUGUAUGAAGAACACUUCACGUUUAGAAGGACAGAUAGUGGUGUGUUGGGCUUCCUCCAUGUAUCCAGCUUAACCGCACAGUUAUGGCAGAGGAAGACUGAUUGCGAAGGUGUUGCUUCAUGGGAGCUUGGAAGAACCAUUGAACUCGACAAAUUACUUUCCAUGAAUUCAGAGAACAGAUGGUACUCAAUGAUAUGCUUUGCUCAGGACAAUAAUGUGGUGUUCCUGUUGACAGUGGUCGGCCUCUUCGCGGUCCAGCUUCAGACAUUGGAGUUCAAAAAACUACCCCAAACCAACAUCGGAUCAUACUGCCUUCCAUUUGAAAGUGUCUACAACGCAGACAUUGGGGGUGAACAUGGUGGAGCUGACCUUUUUCACAAUGCAUAA
rnacentral:rRNA from 1 species